GACGAACGCUGGCGGCGUGCUUAACACAUGCAAGUCGAACGGAAAGGCCCCCACUUUUUUGGUGGGGGUGCUCGAGUGGCGAACGGGUGAGUAACACGUGGGUGAUCUGCCCUGUACUUCGGGAUAAGCUUGGGAAACUGGGUCUAAUACCGGAUAGGACCAUGGUUUAGUGUCUCAUGGUGGAAAAAUUAUUGUUUUGGUUCAGGAUGAGCUCGCGGCCUAUCAGCUUGUUGGUGGGGUAAUGGCCUACCAAGGCGUCGACGGGUAGCCGGCCUGAGAGGGUGGACGGCCACAUUGGGACUGAGAUACGGCCCAGACUCCUACGGGAGGCAGCAGUGGGGAAUAUUGCACAAUGGGCGCAAGCCUGAUGCAGCGACGCCGCGUGGGGGAUGACGGCCUUCGGGUUGUAAACUCCUUUCGUUAGGGACGAAGCCGCACCUUUUUUGGGUGUGGUGACGGUACCUUUGUUAAGAAGCACCGGCUAACUACGUG
rnacentral:rRNA from 1 species